rnacentral:lncRNA from 1 species
AGAGAAGGAGGGAUCACUACAUCACAUAGGCGCCUAUUCAUUAAGGGAAUAGUGGUCUUUACACUUCAAAAUACCACACUCCAAGGGCGCAUCUUCCUAAGCCUCAUUAAGGGAAAUUUAGUCAUUGUUAUGUAAUAGUAUAAAUAGACACUUUAGAUACUAUUUUCAUUAGACUUUUGAUGAUAUUGAACAUUACUCUUAAUUUUUAGCUUUAGUCUUCUAGUGUAGCCCUAGAAUCCGAAACUAGGUCCCUUGAAC